rnacentral:rRNA from 1 species
CCCUUAGAUGUUCGGGGCCGCACGCGCGCUACACUGAAUGAAUCAGCGAGUGUAUGUCCUAGGCCGAAAGGUCCGGGUAACCCGUUGAACCUCAUUCGUGAUUGGGAUAGGGACUUGCAAUUGUUUCCCUUGAACGAGGAAUUCCCAGUAAGCGCAAGUCAUCAGCUUGCGUCGAUUACGUCCCUGCCCUUUGUACACACCGCCCGUCGCUCCUACCGAUUGGGUGUGCUGGUGAAAUGUUCGGAUCGGCCGUUUGUCGCGGUUUCCGCGGCUCGUGGCUGAGAAGUUCAUUAAACCCUCCCACCUAGAGGAAGGAGAAGUCGUAACA